rnacentral:rRNA from 1 species
ACGAACGCUGGCGGCGCGCCUAACACCUGCCAGUCGAACGGAGCUGAGAGAAGCUUGCUUUUCUUAGCUUAGUGGCGAACGGGUGAGUAACGCGUGAGUAACCUGCCCUGGAGUGGGGGACAACAGUUGGAAACGACUGCUAAUACCGCAUAAGCCCACGAUCCGGCAUCGGAUUGAGGGAAAAGGAUUUAUUCGCUUCAGGAUGGACUCGCGUCCAAUUAGCUAGUUGGUGAGGUAACGGCCCACCAAGGCGACGAUUGGUAGCCGGACUGAGAGGUUGAACGGCCACAUUGGGACUGAGACACGGCCCAGACUCCUACGGGAGGCAGCAGUGGGGGAUAUUGCACAAUGGGGGAAACCCUGAUGCAGCGACGCCGCGUGGAGGAAGAAGGUUUUCGGAUUGUAAACUCCUGUCGUUAGGGACGAUAAUGACGGUACCUAACAAGAAAGCACCGGCUAACUACGUG